rnacentral:rRNA from 1 species
CUGGUUAACACAUGGGCAAUCUGCCCUUCACUCUGGGACAAGCCCUGGAAACGGGGUCUAAUACCGGAUACGACACGGGGUCGCAUGACCUCCGUGUGGAAAGCUCCGGCGGUGAAGGAUGAGCCCGCGGCCUAUCAGCUUGUUGGUGGGGUGAUGGCCUACCAAGGCGACGACGGGUAGCCGGCCUGAGAGGGCGACCGGCCACACUGGGACUGAGACACGGCCCAGACUCCUACGGGAGGCAGCAGUGGGGAAUAUUGCACAAUGGGCGAAAGCCUGAUGCAGCGACGCCGCGUGAGGGAUGACGGCCUUCGGGUUGUAAACCUCUUUCAGCAGGGAAGAAGCGAGAGUGACGGUACCUGCAGAAGAAGCGCCGGCUAACUACGUGCCAGCAGCCGCGGUAAUACGUAGGGCGCAAGCGUUGUCCGGAAUUAUUGGGCGUAAAGAGCUCGUAGGCGGCUUGUCGCGUCGGAUGUGAAAGCCCGGGGCUUAACCCCGGGUCUGCAUUCGAUACGGGCAGGCUAGAGUUCGGUAGGGGAGAUCGGAAUUCCUGGUGUAGCGGUGAAAUGCGCAGAUAUCAGGAGGAACACCGGUGGCGAAGGCGGAUCUCUGGGCCGAUACUGACGCUGAGGAGCGAAAGCU